UACAGGGGGGGCAAGCGUUGUCCGGAAUUAUUGGGCGUAAAGGGCUCGUAGGCGGUUUGUUGCGUCAGGAGUGAAAACUCGGGGCUUAACCCCGAGCCUGCUUCUGAUACGGGCAGACUAGAGGUAUGCAGGGGAGAACGGAAUUCCUGGUGUAGCGGUGAAAUGCGUAGAUAUCAGGAGGAACACCUGUGGCGAAGGCGGCAUCCUGGACCGACACUGACGCUGAUGAGCGAAAGCCAGGGGAGCAAACGGGG
rnacentral:rRNA from 1 species